GAUGAACGCUAGCGGCAGGCCUAACACAUGCAAGUCGAGGGGCAGCACAUAAAGUGGUUUACUACUUUUGGUGGCGACCGGCGGACGGGUGCGUAACGCGUGUGCAACCUGCCUCCAACAGGGGGAUAACGGAGAGAACUUUCCACUAAUACUCCAUAACAUCAAAAUCGGCACCGGUCUUGGUUGAAAACUCCGGUGGUUGGAGAUGGGCAUGCGUUGUAUCAGAUAGUUGGUGAGGUAACGGCUCACAAAGGCAACGAUACAUAGGGGGACUGAGAGGUUAGCCCCCCACACUGGUACUGAGACACGGACCAGACUCCUACGGGAGGCAGCAGUGAGGAAUAUUGGUCAAUGGGGGCAACCCGGAACCAGCCAUGCCGCGUGCAGGAAGACGGCUCUAUGAGUUGUAAACUGCUUUUACAAGGGGAUAAAUCGGUGUACGUGUACACCGUUGAAGGUACCUUGGGAAUAAGGAUCGGCUAACUCCGUGCCAGCCGCCGCCGUAU
rnacentral:rRNA from 1 species